UUUACCUACGGGACGCAGCAGUGAGGAAUAUUGGUCAAUGGCCGAGAGGCUGAACCAGCCAAGUCGCGUGAGGGAUGACGGCCCUACGGGUUGUAAACCUCUUUUGUCGGGGAGCAAGACCCGCCACGAGUGGCGGAGCGAGAGUACCCGAAGAAAAAGCAUCGGCUAACUCCGUGCCAGCAGCCGCGGUAAUACGGAGGAUGCGAGCGUUAUCCGGAUUUAUUGGGUUUAAAGGGUGCGCAGGCGGACCAUCAAGUCAGCGGUAAAAUCGUGGGGCCCAACCCCAUCCCGCCGUUGAAACUGGG
rnacentral:rRNA from 1 species